GACGAACGCUGGCGGCGUGCUUUACACAUGCAAGUCGAACGGAAAGGCCCUGCUUUUGUGGGGUGCUCGAGUGGCGAACGGGUGAGUAACACGUGAGUAACCUGCCCUUGACUUUGGGAUAACUUCAGGAAACUGGGGCUAAUACCGGAUAGGAGCUCCUGCUGCAUGGUGGGGGUUGGAAAGUUUCGGCGGUUGGGGAUGGACUCGCGGCUUAUCAGCUUGUUGGUGGGGUAGUGGCUUACCAAGGCUUUGACGGGUAGCCGGCCUGAGAGGGUGACCGGCCACAUUGGGACUGAGAUACGGCCCAGACUCCUACGGGAGGCAGCAGUGGGGAAUAUUGCACAAUGGGCGGAAGCCUGAUGCAGCAACGCCGCGUGCGGGAUGACGGCCUUCGGGUUGUAAACCGCUUUCGCCUGUGACGAAGCGUGAGUGACGGUAAUGGGUAAAGAAGCACCGGCUAACUACGUGCCAGCAGCCGCGGUGAUACGUAGGGUGCGAGCGUUGUCCGGAUUUAUUGGGCGUAAAGGGCUCGUAGGUGGUUGAUCGCGUCGGAAGUGUAAUCUUGGGGCUUAACCCUGAGCGUGCUUUCGAUACGGGUUGACUUGAGGAAGGUAGGGGAGAAUGGAAUUCCUGGUGGAGCGGUGGAAUGCGCAGAUAUCAGGAGGAACACCAGUGGCGAAGGCGGUUCUCUGGGCCUUUCCUGACGCUGAGGAGCGAAAGCGUGGGGAGCGAACAGGCUUAGAUACCCUGGUAGUCCACGCUGUAAACGGUGGGUACUAGGUGUGGGGUCCAUUCCACGGGUUCCGUGCCGUAGCUAACGCUUUAAGUACCCCGCCUGGGGAGUACGGCCGCAAGGCUAAAACUCAAAGGAAUUGACGGGGCCCCGCACAAGCGGCGGAGCAUGCGGAUUAAUUCGAUGCAACGCGUAGAACCUUACCUGGGUUUGACAUGGAUCGGGAGUGCUCAGAGAUGGGUGUGCCUCUUUUGGGGUCGGUUCACAGGUGGUGCAUGGCUGUCGUCAGCUCGUGUCGUGAGAUGUUGGGUUAAGUCCCGCAACGAGCGCAACCCUUGUUCACUGUUGCCAGCACGUUAUGGUGGGGACUCAGUGGAGACCGCCGGGGUCAACUCGGAGGAAGGUGGGGAUGACGUCAAGUCAUCAUGCCCCUUAUGUCCAGGGCUUCACGCAUGCUACAAUGGCUGGUACAGAGAGUGGCGAGCCUGUGAGGGUGAGCGAAUCUCGGAAAGCCGGUCUCAGUUCGGAUUGGGGUCUGCAACUCGACCUCAUGAAGUCGGAGUCGCUAGUAAUCGCAGAUCAGCAACGCUGCGGUGAAUACGUUCCCGGG
rnacentral:rRNA from 1 species